AACUUUUAACAAUGGAUCUCUUGGCUCUCGCAUCGAUGAAGAACGCAGCGAUAUGCGAUAAGUAAUGUGAAUUGCAGAAUUCAGUGAAUCAUCGAAUCUUUGAACGCAUCUUGCGCUCCUUGGUAUUCCGAGGAGCAUGCCUGUUUGAGUGUCAUUUAACUUCUCAACCACACAUCUCAUGAUGGCUCGUGGCUUGGAUGUGGGGGUUGUUUGCAGGCUUUCUGUGAAUGAAGGUCGGCUCCCCUGAAAUGUAUUAGUGGUAUCUGAGGCUACUACUAUAGGUGUGAUAAUUAUCUAUGCCUUUGGUAUGCCGCAUGAACAGAUUACACUGCUUCUAACAAAACAACGAUGUUGAUAAAUUUGACCUCAAAUUAGGUAGGACUACCCGCUGAACUUAAGCAUAUCAAUAAGCGGAGGCU
rnacentral:misc_RNA from 1 species